AUGGGUAGCAUGGUCAGGUUGAGUUUUGUCGCGGCUAUAGUAAUAUUACAUAUUGAUGCUGUGAUCACUAUGAACUGUGAUAGCACGAGUGUGUCACCUGUACUGCCGUUUUGUAGUAACUUCGGAUAUACCGGAAGGUUCUUUCAUUUGUCUGGUAUAGAUAAUAGAACAAAUGGUAUCGGAUGUAAUUGUUCCAUUAGUUCAUUUAAUCAGGAUCCUGUGGAAAUUGAAAUAAAGAAUGUUACAACUACCUCCCACCUGUGUGACUAUAACUUAUACUUUGUAUAUAGAAAUAGAAGUACACGACUGUAUUCGUGUGGUGGCAAUUUAAAUAAAGAGAGUUUUUAUUUGAACCCUUGGGAAACUGUGAGAUUACAUAUGGAGAAAGGGACUUAUAAUGGUGUUGGAUUUCCCUUCUGUCUUCAACUAAUAAGUGAUCUAGGUUCUCAGAUAAGACUAAAAUGUAGGACUACACCACAGACAACAACAACAACCAAUACGUCACCAACAACAUUACCAUCCACGAAAUCUCCAAGCACAAACAAUUUCAUGACGACAAUUGAUGACAUCCAAAAUAUACCAAUCUCCAGUACAUGGAGAAAUGAAGAUAUGACUGAACCACAACCAAACGAUGAUGAUUCUGAUCGAUUGAUUGGUAUAAUAAUUGGUUCAAUUCUAGCUGUUCUGGUCGGGGUAGCUUUAGUUAUUAUAAUUGUCUGUUUGGUGAAAAGACGAAAGAAAGAUGUCAUAUAUGAAACGCCACGACAACCACAGCAGAGUUCACAUAUUUAUAUGGAUUUACAUGUUGAACCCGUUAACACUGGAACGCAACAAAACAACAUUUAUGUGAACAGCGUGGUGAUUUAAAAAAAAAAUAUAUAUAUUGACAUUUAGUAGAUGGGAAUAAUUGGGACUAAGUCUUCACCAGAAAAAUUUUACAGGUUUCAACAACUUGUCACACAAAAAGUGAUGUAUUGCUUUUUAAAUGACCCGCAAAGAAUGUGUUCUUUAUGACAGAAACUAAUGGAAUAUGGUGUAAUCGUGCUGAUUCACAAACUAUUAAACCCUAUAUGUACUAUGUGUAAAACUGAAUGGCGACUUUUCAGAUGCGUUCACAUGCUAGUCUAGCUAAUUACCAGCUUUGUAUCUACGUAAUGAGCAACUAGCUAAAUUACUUGUUUGUAACAAUGAAAACAUACGCUUGAAUCUACUAAUGUAUUGUUAAGCUACCCACACUAUAAUUUACAUAUUAACUUGUAACGGGGAUCACGUGGCUAAGUGGGUAAGACGCUGGCUCGCUAGCUUGGAGGUCGGGUGUUCGAUCCCUGCAUUGGCGGAGAAAGUUCAUUCAGAUUUUCCGACGUGGUUUCCCCUUGUCAGUGAUGCAGGAUAGAGGACCUGACAAAGACAGCUGUCUAGUCGUUCGGAUGGGACGAAAAACCAAGGUCCCGUGUACACAUUGGCGAGCACGUAAAAGAUCCCCUAGUAAUUGGAAUUCGAUAUAAGGGUAGGCCGUAGCGCCGCUGUCCGGGCAAAAUUUCCCUCAUAGCACACUGUAUGGCGUAUGCCCGUCUUCAUUAGCCCAGGUUUGGAGCAGAACAGUAGGAAGUUAAACCCCAUUUCAUUUCAUUUCAUAUAAACCUGUAAUAAAGAUGAACUGUUAUACAUGUUGUACACGUCAGUUCAUACAUAUUAUCUCUGUCAUUGUUUUCAACUUUGUUCAUAAAUUUGUGUACACAUUACCGUGCACGUACAAGAUCCCUUGACAGUUGGAAUUCGAUAUAAAAGUAGGCAAAAUUUCCCUCAUAGCACACUAUAUGGCGUAUGCCCGUCUUCAUUAGCACUGUUCGGAGCAGAACAGUAUGACGUUAAACCCCAUUUCAUUUCAUUUGUUCAUAAAUUAAAAUGUGUUUCUUUUUCGUGGUAUUUCAUGUGUAAAUGUUAUUAAUUAAAAUGUCUCUUCUUUAUUUUAUUUCAAUAUUUGUAAUAAAUUCUUUGU